GUGUAAGGGAUGCAUUGUGUGUUUCUGUGUAUAUGUGCAAAGGAUGCAUUGUCUUUAUGUGUAAGUGUUGCAUUGUGUGUUUCUCUGUGUGUAAGGGAAGCAUGUUGUGUUUCUGUGUGUAUAGGGAUGCAUUGUGUGUGUGCGCGUGGUGUGAAAGAGCUCCCUGUCCUGCCCCCUGUCCUAUAGAGCUCUCUCUUAGAGAUCUCCCCCGCCC
rnacentral:lncRNA from 1 species